UAUUCUACCCUACGGGGAAGGAUGAGAAGCUUCGACUAAGGUUCGACUCGAGCGCCAGCGAGAGAACGUUGCCGCAGGCAACGGCCCGAAGGGCGAG
rnacentral:sRNA from 1 species